AGGGUGUAAACGCUGCGGGCUUGGUGUUGGGGGUCCUUAGUGGGCGCCCAGUGCCGGAGAGAAGUUGUUAAGCCUGCUGCUUGGGGGAGUAUGUCCGCAAAGGAUGAAACUUAAAGGGAAUUGGCGGGGGAGCACUACAACGGGAGGAGCGUGCGGUUCAAUUGGAUUCAACGCCGGACAACUCACCAGGAGCGACGGUUACAUGAAGGCCAGGCUGAAGACCUUGCCGGAUUAGCUGAGAGGUGGUGCAUGGCGUAGUCGUGU
rnacentral:rRNA from 1 species